GAAUUAGCGGGGUCCUCUUUGCCGAUCCUCGACAUGUGAUAAGAUGUUUCCGUGUCUUGGUUUAUGGCUCUGUUGCUUUUGGGACCCGCUUCUAGCCGUCUCGUCGAGACAACGUUUGAGCGUGUCUCCCUUCUCGGGAAACGCUCUCAGACCCACGAACCCUUGACCUCAAAUCGGGUGAGACUACCCGCUGAACUUAA
rnacentral:misc_RNA from 1 species